rnacentral:lncRNA from 1 species
CGGCUGCGUCUAGGAAUGGAAACUUCUUAUUAAACCAUUGAAGGGUUUCAUGCAGAAGACUAACAUGUUCUGAUUUUCUGCUGUGUGAAGAAUAAAUUGGGUGGGUGGCGGGCAAAAAGAAAAGCAACGAGACAAGUAGACUGUUGUGGCCGCCCAGGCCAAAGAUAACCGCAAUUUGACCAAAUUGGUGGCCAAGCUGAGAUGAAGACUUGAGAGAUGCUAUUUUCGGCAUGGACUUGUAAGGACACAUGGAUAGGAUGGAUGCGGGGGAGGAAAUGGAGAAACCACAGAUAACUUUCAAGUUUCUGGCUGGAGUAAGAGGGUGGACAAUGCCUCGUUUCUUGGAUGGGGAGCCUGGAGGAAAGGGGCUCCAGCUCAGGGAGGAACAUCGAGAGUUCUGAUUUGGCCAUAUUGAGUUUGAGAUGCCCGUCAGAGAUCCUAUUCGAUUGUCCAGCCACCAGGAGCUGAGAAGAGAGGCCUGGACUGGAGGUGGGGCCUUGGGACGCAUCAUCUUACAGAUAGUAAAGGCCAUGAGAUCUGAGCAACUCGCCUAGGGUGAGGAGGUAGAUACAGAAGAGGAGAGGGCUCAAGAGGGACCCAGAAGAGGCGGGCAGGAGCCAGAGCAGGAAAGAAGACUGAGAAAGAGAGGCUGGGGAGGAAAGGGGAGAGCGCUGUAUCCUGAACACUGGGGAAGGAACGUGCUUCCAGAAAGGAGUGGUCCGCUGUGUCAUGUGCUACUUAGAGGUCAAGUAGAACAAGGAGGGAAGGACCCACUGACUCUGGCAACAUGGAAGUCAUCAGCUGACAUGCUGGCCCCGCGGCUUUCCCGAACGAAAGCAAGUUUCUCAGACGCCCUCGCAGCUAGGCACAGAAAUACGCCUCGUUCCAGCCAACAGGAGGGACAGAAGCACCGGAGGUGAUCAGGGUCUGAGCCGUCCAUGAGAAGGACUGCAUUUCCCAGCCCCCCUUGUGGCCAUGCAGCCCUGAGCCCUGGCCAAUGAGAGGCGAGCAAAAGCGAGGGGCGCUUCUUCCAGCUUGUGCCCUAAGGGAAAGAAGGACGUUCAGCAUUUGACGAAAUUCAACAUCCUUUCUUGAUAAAAACUCUCAACAAGUUAGGUGAAAUGAUGCUGGCUCGGCGAGCCUAGGAGUCGAAAGAAGGAUUUCUUUGCCUCUCAUGGUCUGGCAGUGGUGCUCUUUUAUUCAGAGACUAGCAUGGAGUAGCAUGGGGACGGGACCCGUGGGCAGUAAGAGCUGCAGGCAUGGGGACGGGACCCGUGGGCAGUAAGAGCUGCAGGCGUGGAGACGGGACCCGUGGGCAGUAAGAGCUGCAGGCAUGGGGACGGGACCCGUGGGCAGUGAAGAGCUGCAGCCUUGGGGACGCGACCCGUGGGCAGUAAGAGCUGCAGCCUUGGGGACGGGACCCGUGGGCAGUAAGAGCUGCAG